rnacentral:lncRNA from 1 species
UAUGGCAAAUGUGUGGAGUGCAUCCUGUGGGAGGUGUACUAGUGAUUGGGUAUAGGUUGUGAAGUGUUGUUUGUGUGUAAUGAUUGAUUUGUAGUGAUUGAGAUAUAGUGUCGAGACUUGAGAUGCCAUGAAUUAUAUAUUAUUGUACUAACACAAUUUUGCAGGAGGAUAGGUCAAUUAACAUUUCUUGCAGGGCUCGACUUAUCCUAAUAGGAGGUGCAGCUCAGGUAAUGUAUUAUUAUAAUAUAUAAUAUUUAUUUAGUAAACGAGAUAAAUAUAUAAAGACCGCAGAGUCUGUUAUUUUAUUGUUUUUGGGAAUGGAGUUCCCUACCCUUGUCCACUCAUACCAGCAUAAUUUGCUGACCCAUGUUGCUUGUUUUGCACGUGGGUACGUAUCCUUAUGGAGCGUAGGCGGAGGAGAGCAGCCAGUUGAGUACGAUCGGGAGCAACAUCAGGAGGCUCGUGUAGAUCCAGUUGUUCGAGAGGGAGUUUGAGAUUCGCAGGAGUUAUCUUUCACAGUAGGUUUAGUUCUUUGAUUCGUUGUCAAUUGAUUACUCGAGUUUAUUUUAUUUAUUGGAUUAUUGUUGAUUUGGGGAAGACAAUACCUCAGUAGAAGUUGUUGAAUUUUAUUAUUGGAGUUGUGUAAUUUGAUAUUUGGAGUUUUUGGAUUAUAUAUGGAAGUUAUUGGGAGUUCAAAUUAUUUGUGUUGAAGUAUUUGUCUUUAAUGGCUAUGGAUUUUUACCUUGUGCAAAUGUUUAUUUAGAUUACUGUCUUGAUCCUUUUUUCUUUUAUUGGCUUAUU